GCGUUUUAUAGAAUAGUCGGGUAGCUGUUUACGGUUUUGUAAACCGUGGGUCGUCGGUUCAAUCCCGACAACUGGCUCCA
rnacentral:tRNA from 1 species